GGGAAAGUAGCUCAGGGGUUAGAGCGCUGCGCUCAUAACGCAGAGGUCCCGGGUUCGAUUCCCGGCUUUCCCA
rnacentral:tRNA from 1 species